rnacentral:rRNA from 1 species
AGAUUGAACGCUGGCGGCAGGCCUAACACAUGCAAGUCGAGCGGUAGAGAGGUGCUUGCAUCUCUUGAGAGCGGCGGACGGGUGAGUAAUGCCUAGGAAUCUGCCUAGUGGUGGGGGAUAACGUUCGGAAACGGACGCUAAUACCGCAUACGUCCUACGGGAGAAAGGCGGGGGACCUUCGGGCCUCGCGCCAUUAGAUGAGCCUAGGUCGGAUUAGCUAGUUGGUGAGGUAAUGGCUCACCAAGGCGACGAUCCGUAACUGGUCUGAGAGGAUGAUCAGUCACACUGGAACUGAGACACGGUCCAGACUCCGUAACGGGAGCAGCGAGGUGGGAAUAGUUGGAACAAGGUGGGACGAAAGCCUAGAGUACCAGCCAUCGGCCGUCGUGGUUAGAGG